GGGUAGGUGGCGGAGUGGUCAAUCGCAGCAGACUGUAAAUCUGUCGACUUCGGUCUACGGGGGUUCGAAUCCCUCCCUGCCCA
rnacentral:tRNA from 1 species